rnacentral:SRP_RNA from 1 species
GCCGGGCAUGGUGGCACUUGCCUGUAAUCCCAGCUACUUGGGAGGCUGAGACAGGAGAAUCGCUAGAACCCAGGAGGCGGAGGUUGCAGUGAGCCAAGAUCAUGCCACUGCACUCCAGCCUGGGUGACAGAGCGAGACUCUGUCUCAA